GGUGGGGUGCCAGAGUGGUUGAAUGGGCGACUCUCGAAAAGUCGUGUAUCCGCAAGGGUACCGCGAGUUCGAAUCUCGCCCCCACCGCCU
rnacentral:tRNA from 2 species